CUCCUUCCUGUCAGCUGAGCCCAGCUCCAGACUCAAGAGGAACGGCUGGGGUGAUACCAUCUCCUGGUUUCUGCGGGGGUGUAUGUGAGUUCCCUCCCCCUGCCCCCAGCUGUGGGACUGUCCCUUCUCACAGCCACCACCAACUGACUUCCCCACAGCCUCCAGAUGAGCAAAAAGGUAAAACUCCGGCAUUUUCCACAUCCUCAGCAUCCUCCACCUCCUCAGCUGUUCGCACCCGUGCUGGGAUGCAGGUCAGAGACAGCCAGAGACACAGUGGACUGCAGAGAUCGAGAGACGCGGUGGGGAGACAAAGAGACGGAUAAAGAGAAGCACAGAGAUGGAGAACGAAGUCAGUCAGAGAGACAGAGAUGCUGGGCCAGAGUGACAGCCAGAAAGCCACGGGAUGCCCAGAAGCAGAGACGUCUGCAGAGAGACAGUGAUGGACAAAGAGAAACAGAAACAAGGCGGGAAACAGGAGGAUCGCUUGAGCCCAGGAGAUCGAGACCAGCCUGGGCAACAAAGUGAGAACCCACC
rnacentral:lncRNA from 1 species